CGCGUGGGAACGUACCUUUCACUAAGGAAUAGCCACUGGAAACGGUGAGUAAUACCUUAUACGCCCUUAGGGGGAAAGAAUUUCGGUGAGAGAUCGGCCCGCGUUAGAUUAGAUAGUUGGUGGGGUAACGGCCUACCAAGUCUACGAUCUAUAGCUGGUUUUAGAGGAUGAUCAGCAACACUGGGACUGAGACACGGCCCAGACUCCUACGGGAGGCAGCAGUGGGGAAUCUUGGACAAUGGGCGCAAGCCUGAUCCAGCCAUGCCGCGUGAGUGAUGAAGGCCUUAGGGUCGUAAAGCU
rnacentral:rRNA from 1 species